ensembl:lncRNA
GGUAGGUUCUAGGUACUGCUCUGGGGUUAUAGCACCCCCAGUGGUAGGGUCUAGGUACUGCUCUGGGGUUAUAGCACCCCCAGUGGUAGGGUCUAGGUACUGCUCUGGGGUUAUAGCACCCCCAGUGGUAGGGUCUAGGUACUGCUCUGGGUUUAUAGCGCCCCCAGUGGUAGGGUCUAGGUACUGCUCUGGUUUUAUAGUGCCCCCAGUGGUAGGGUCUAGGUACUGCUCUGGGGUUAUAGCACCCCCAGUGGCAGGGUCUAGUAUGUUGUUAGCUUCCAGGUCCUGCUGUGUGGUUCCAGGCGUGUUGUCCUUCUCCAGGUGGGGUUGUGUAGUAACAGCUCCUCCUGGGGUACUGUCCAGGUAGUGCUGUGUGAUCAGCUGACUCAGGUACAUCAGGAUGGAACAGUCGUCUUCCCCAAGCCUGAGC